GAGCACUUCAAGCGGCCGGUCAGUCGGUCAGUCGGUCAGGUGGAUGAGAGCAAGACUGGGGGCCAGGCUGCAACCCAAGGAUGUGAACUGACAGUGGUGCUACCCUCCUUUCACUCCAUGUCCCGCCCUUCCCUGGGCAGGGUCGAGGCAACAGGUUGCGAAGAGGCCCUUACUUUGUGGUGGAACUGGCCAGGAAUCCAGGGAAGGGCUGGUUUCUGUUCACCCGCCAGGCCACGUCAACGCAAGGGGGAGCUUUCGCCUCAUGUUCUCACACUGCUCUGCCGGAGACUGGCUGAGAACUUGUGCAUCGGCAUCUCUGCCUGUGACAGGAAGUCACCCACCUGCAGGAAGAGGCUGGGGGCAGGAAAGAAAGAGGCUCUGCCCUCCGGAAAGCCCCUACCCUGGCUGCUGUCCCUCAGCCUGAGACAGGUUGCCUGGAGCUGGAUGGAUUCUGGAGGAGAGUAUGGCUUGUCACAAGCCCAGUGUGUGAGGCUGGGGGAGUGGGAAUCUCAGUGGCAGCCACUGCCCACCCUUCACCAUGCCGAGGUCCAGGCACCACUUGGGUGGGAAAAGGAGGUGGCAGAGUCCCAGGGCUCAGAUGCUGGGGAGACAGCUCCCUGAGCUGGGACGUCUGUCUCGGACUUCCCCUGCUGGCUAGCCCACCUCCCCAGCUCCUGGCUGCAGCCUCCUGAGCCACAGCCAUGGUGCUGACCAGCCCUGGGGGCAGCCUCUACCCUUGGCUCCCAGAACUCCAGGGACUCACCACAAAUAGACUUGUCUCCUCCUAAGUGUCUGUGAGCGAGCUUGCGCCAUAUUUAACACAUUGGGAAUGGGUUUGGGAUAUUACUGCGAUGUGUGGUGGUUGUGUUGGGGGUGGGAGGGAGGAGGUGGGUGGGAGCGAUUCAGGAGAGUGGUUGCUGUUAAUACUAUCCUGUUCUAUGUGUUGGGUGAUACGUGAAAUACUGUUCAUAGACCUGAUGAGUUGUGGGAUUAGAUGUCAUCUCUGGCUACGUGACACAGGCCGCACUUCUGUGUGGAGUGUGCUAGCUUGUGGGGUUGAGCCCUGGGCUCCCAGCAGCAGCAAGGUCCGCGCUGUGUGGCUGGCGGUGCCUCAGCUGCCCCCUGCAAGCGUGGGAGUGGUGGGCCCAAGUUGGGCCGUUGAGCAGACCAAAUAAAUUAAGCCGUUAACAUAACCGACGACGCUGAGAGUAAAAUGUGACUUGGGGUCUGGCUCAGGGAGAUACACGUCGGGGGUCUGCUGGCCUGUCUGCCAGGAAGUGCAAGGCCUCCCCUGCUCCCUUCCAGAGGAAAUGCUACUGGCCUGUCCAGGUCCGGGUCACGUGACUCCCCACAGCGGGGAGUUCUCACGCUCCCUAGUUCCCAUCCCCUCCCCUAAUGUAGACACCAACCUGCUCAUCCCACCGGAGGCAGCCCAGUCCUUAAAGCAGGUCUGACUCCCACCUACCAGCUGAGUCGCUCCUUCGGGGCCCUACACGCCCGCCUUCUGCGCCCACUCCUAAAGCCUGGCUGUCCCAGCGUCCUCUCCACAGGACCGGGUGCCCCUUGCUGAUAGAACUGUCCAGUGUCUGGCCAUGGGCAGAGAUCACGGGGUGUUCUAGAGGCUGAGAAACCAUUACUCCAAGUCCAACAGAAACUCCCAUUGGUAGCUGUUCCUGGGGCCCCAGGAGUCACCCCCACGGGGACGUUCUCAGCUCAGAGCGGUUCCUGGCAGCCUAAGGACUCAUCCCCCUCUGCACACCCAUCCCUCCUGUGGUUCCUACAGCACCACCUCCACUGCCGGUUCCCAGCCCCAGCCAAGGGCGGCCUGGACGUUGAACUACCUCCACCUCGGAAAGAAUGCCAGGGGGCAGAGGAUCUGCAGGGACCAGCCGCCCACUGAGAUGCCCGCACACUCAUCUUUACGGCAGCUUCACCCUGGAAGAUUCCUGGGGGUGACUGCGGUCACCAACCGUCCUACGGUGGCCACCUCCCAGGGACAGGCCCGGGCCACACAGGUGUUGACAAGAUACCAUGUUCUUCGGAGGCUUGUUAAGAAGUGGAGCUGACUAGGGGACGAGCAAUGGAUUUGGCCUCACUCACUGGUUUUGGCAUAAGGCAAGACAUGCGUGUAGAAACGCCCAGCAAACAGUUCGAUAUGGGACUAAUGGUGGACCAACUGGACAGAAAAUCAACCAUUUCUCAGCAGUCCCCGGACAGCCAUCCCCGCAGGGACGCAGCCUCUGCCUCACUUCCCCUCUGGCCCCAUGGGCUGCUGGUCAACCUCGGGGUCUACCAGAGACGAGGCGAACGCCGACUGCACGAUCUGAAACCCGAAGGACUCAAGGAGAGACAUGUUCUGCUGGGGAGAGAAAGGAAGAAGCUGUGUCAUCGAGCCCCAUUUGUGGCCAAGGAUCAGCAAGUGCCUUCAGCAGGAAGCGAAGCUUUUUAGCAUCAGGCCCACGUGGAGUGUCAGUGCCUCGAUGAUGUCCUUUCAUUCACGCAGACCGGCUGACAUGUUCUCAGGUUUCUUGGUGAUGCAGACAGUGACACCCAGUGGCCUUCAGGCGAACCCCAAGUGUGCAGCAGGAAUACCCAGCUGCUCAGCAGUCUCCCCCACCAGCGACCUCGGGGCACACAGAGACAGCACAGCACCCAGAGAUUCCAGCCAAGGGCUGCAGGGAUGUUUGCUUCGCUUCGUCCAAACCAGGGUGUCAGCGCGUCUUUCCUAACAGUUACAAAGUGUAAGAACGGGGCCUCCCACGUGUGCAGCACCUUGUGGGGUUCAGUUAACUUCCAUCUACUUUGUGUGCCGGGAUCCUCACAACACCCCUGUGAGGUAGACAAGGGGGGGGGUCCUUACCCCAUUUAAGAGAUGAAGAAACUGACGUUUAGAGGAGGGAAGAGGGGUGAGGUGGAAGCGGCUGGGAUUUAAACCCUAGGCCCCCCUGAUUCCUGGUUUAGUACUCAAUCCACUAAGCCACACCCAACACUUCCAGAAGCAUCGAGACAAGGGUGUCCCAGGAUACGGGACCUCCCAGCAGAGUCCACACCCGGCCAGAGCCAGCACACAGUGCAGAAGCAUCCUCACACCCACUACCGGCAGCUGCCCAACCUCCUCCAGCAGAGACGUGGCGCCAGCCUCCUCCACUGACACUGCGCGUGCAAAACACAAACCUCAGCCCUUCCAACCGCUGACAGACAAGCCCUGGCAGAAGCUCAGACCCAGGACAGGCCUGACUUCAUCAACACAACACCCGGGCCAGAGCCAGAGCCACCUCGGCCCACCUCAGCAGCAAGCGCGCUCCCCUGCUCAGAACACCUUCCACUCUCCUUUCUCGUCAAGGCCACAAUCUACCUGGGUUUGGGCUUUCUUCUGAUCAUCUGUGCUACAUACAGAGUUUCUUUUCUGAUCCUUAUCCAUCGCUAGACUCAACUUCCUCCUUCCCUGGCUGCUGAGUUCCACAUGCCAGGGAACCAGCCAGCCAGGCUCUCAAGCAGGAACCCUUUUUCUCCCCCCUGUGGGGUCUAGUGACUCUCUCACCAACAUCAAUACUUCCGUGGUCUCUCCAACUGCAUCCAUCCUGCCACCUGAGCAGCAGAUGUUCCGGGCCCAGCUUGGGAACAAUACCCUUCCUGUUCCCACUUGCUGAUCUCUUGGGAACUCCCAUUCCAAACAUCCUAAGCCUCUUGGGACGGAAGGGGUGGCACGCAGCUAGCUGGGCGAGGACCGUCUAUCACUCAGUGGGAAGGGCAGGCCGGCCGUGCGCAGGAUGGAGUCUGAGGCGGGGUGGUCCGGAGCCCCCAGCCGCCCACAUGAGCUCAGGCCCCGCCUCCGGAAGUGAGGGGACCGCAGGGAGAUUACCUCGG